rnacentral:misc_RNA from 1 species
GAUGAAGAACGCAGCGAAAUGCGAUAAGUAAUGUGAAUUGCAGAAUCCAGUGAAUCAUCGAAUCUUUGAACGCACAUUGCGCCCGCCAGCAUUCUGGCGGGCAUGCCUGUUCGAGCGUCAUUUCAACCCUCGACCUCCCUUUGGGGAAGUCGGCGUUGGGGACCGGCAGCACACCGCCGGCCCUGAAAUGGAGUGGCGGCCCGUCCGCGGCGACCUCUGCGUAGUAAUCCAACUCGCACCGGAACCCCGACGCGGCCACGCCGUAAAACACCCAACUUCUGAACAUUGACCUCGAAUCAGGUAGGACUACCCGCUGAACUUAAGCAUAUCAAUAAGCGGAGGA